GUGAAUCAUCGAAUCUUUGAACGCACAUUGCGCCCUGUGGUAUUCCGCAGGGCAUGCCUGUUCGAGCGUCAGUGCAACACUCAAGCUCAGCUUGGUCUUGAGCCCAGCCGGUCGCGGCGGGCUCUAAAAGCAGUGGCGGCGCCACCCGGCUCUAAGCGUAGUAGUACCCCUCGCUUCUGGGUCCCGGUGGGCGCUGGCCAGCAACCCCCAACUUCCUAAGUUUGACCUCGGAUCAGGUAGGGAUACCCGCUGAACUUAAGCAUAUCAAUAAGCGGAGGA
rnacentral:misc_RNA from 1 species